GGUUGGUAUUACUCAAUAAAGUUCAGUGAAAAUCAUCUUCCUCUUGCUUGUCAAAAUAACGUACUUAGCUGUUUGUGACUUAAAAAAAAAGUCAACCCUUUGAGGAAAGCUUGGCAGAGCUGCUACAGCAUCUGUUUUAAGUGAACAACACAGGGGUGUCUAUUAUUCUCUCACACAAAACAGUCCAACACAAAAGGUCUGUGGCCUUGACCUCAAGUGACAAGAGAACAGACUACAGGGCCAGUCCGGGUCCCUGUGGGACAUAUGCUCGGAGGCGCAUUCCCUCCGCAAGGCCUUUUUUCCUCUCUACUCUCAUCUCUUGAACUUCCCCUUCAAUGCACAGCCGCCGCGCCAGCGCAGCCGGGCCACUCUCGCUCUCUGUGAUGCCACUGGCAGUCUGUCGCUGCCUGAACAUGCAGGAUUUCAAUAAAACCGAAGUCGCAAUUGGAAGGGCAGGGACUGGAAUUAAGCUGUCGAAAAAGGCGCAGCCAGACCUCCGUCCUGAAGUCCGAGACUCCUCACCCAUCACCUUUCAAUCUGCGGAAGGAAGAAUAACUUCCAGAUGACAUCUGACUUUGAAAUGGAAGCUCUCAUGCAGAAACACACCUUGUGAUGCUUGCUAUGGCUUCAACGCAGAGGUUUUACCAUUUAAAAUGCUAAUUAAAGAGCUGGGUUUUCUUCUUUACGUCUCAUUAAAAAACAGACACAUCCAAGAUUGAAAGAUUGAAAGAUGGGGGGAGAAGCUCGCCUCUGCUGCAGUUAAAUAUGAACCUUGGGGGGGGGGGAGGGGAGAGACACAUCGAAACACGUUAUAAAAUUUUUAAAAAACUGUUAAAUAAACAACAUUAUCAUGCUCUCUGACAUGAAUCCAUAAUCUGGACCAUUGUGCUAGGCAGACAAUUACAGGGUGAACUGUCCUUUAAACUGGGCAUGAUUGUAUACGUUCACUGAUAAUGCUUUGCAUAGGUUUAUAAUUCUAAGGUGCUGUUCUAUCUUUUAAUUAACUUGAUUCUUAAAAUAAUCACAGUUACUAGAAUAAGGAACUAAGACAGCUAUCAAUAACCGCUGUCUCUUUUUCUGCCCUGUAGUGAGCACCUACCAUCAGCAAAACGCAUGUAUACUAUAUUAAUUAAGGCAAGUAACAUUAGCUGCUAAAACAAAUAAGCCUAAGUCUUCGUGGCUUACUUAGUAAAUGUUUCUAAGUCACACAAAUGAUACUAGUUGAUGGGUAAGACUUUCAAUAUGAUCAUCAGUCACCAGGUUCAUUUCCUCUUGUGGCCUCACCCUCCUCCCAUUCACACAAUCAAAGGAUGAGAGAAUGGAGGUUUGCAUGGGGCAAGUUGUUGAUGGCUCCAUCUUGGAAUGGACAUAUAUCAUUUCUGGCUUCACUCAUUGGCCCGUACUCAGCUUCAUGGCCACACUACCUGCCAGGGAG
rnacentral:lncRNA from 1 species